rnacentral:rRNA from 1 species
UGCUGCUCGUGGUUGGUGGGGGGUGGACCGUCUUGUGGUGUGGUGUCUUGCGAACGUGAGGGUGUGUGAGUUGUAAUCGAGAUGCACUUGCUGGCUGGCUCCAUGCCUUGCGUAUCGAACGGUCAAGCAUGCAUCUCUUCCAUUUUCACCCGUUGCCUUGGGUGAUAUUGGUUGAUCAGUCCCUGUCUUGCCUACCCUCUA